GUGUCCCAGGUCUAAAUCAGGCCCUGAUCUGUGCUGCUGUCACUAAAUACAACCUGUGACGUUGAUAUAGACCAGGGGGUAUUUUCAAAUGUUACCGUUCGAUAUCUGGACUACUGCUACUUUUCUGUUGUACCUGAUCAUUAAUAUCACCCCACCUGGUGUCCCAGGUCUAAAUCAGGCCCUGAUCAUUAAUAUCACCCCACCUGGUGUCCCAGGUCUAAAUCAGGCCCUGAUUAGAGGAGAAUCACCCACCUGGUAUCCCAGGUCUAAAUCAGGCCCUGAUUAGAGGAGAAUCACCCACCUGGUGUCCCAGGUCUAAAUCAGGCCCUGAUUAGAGGAGAAUCACCCACCUGGUGUCCCAGGUCUAAAUCAGGCCCUGAUUAGAGGAGAAUCACCCACCUGGUGUCCCAGGUCUAAAUCAGGCCCUGAUUAGAGGAGAAUCACCCACCUGGUGUCCCAGGUCUAAAUCAGGCCCUGAUUAGAGGGGAAUCACCCACCUGGUGUCCCAGGUCUAAAUCAGGCCCUGAUUAGAGGGGAAUCACCCACCUGGUGUCCCAGGUCUAAAUCAGGCCCUGAUUAGAGGGGAAUCACCCACCUGGUGUCCCAGGUCUAAAUCAGGCCCUGAUUAGAGGAGAACAAUGGGAAAAAAGCAGUUGAACUGGCUUCGAGGUCCAGAUUUGAAUUUGAGCAAUAUAGCCUAUUCAUACAUAAUAAAUCGUUAUUACCAUGUUAUACGUUGUUUAUGCUGGAUGAUGUCAAUAAAGAACUUGAGAACCCA
ensembl:lncRNA